rnacentral:lncRNA from 1 species
ACGAAUUUCAACAGACCUUUCCUGCAUUGGAGGUAUCUCACCUGUUGAAAAUUGGUUCUGACCAUUGUCCGAUGCUGCUGAAAUGUUAUAUAAAAAAUCCCCCAAUUAAGAAGUCAUUCUGAUUUCUUAACUUCUGGACAAAGCAUGAAACAUUCAAAGAUGUAGUGAAGGAGAAUUGGACUGUUGAUUUUAGUGCUAACCCUUUUUGCAUCUUUAACUACAAGUUAAAGAAGCUUAAACAUGCACAAUCUACCUGGAGCAGAGCUUCAUAUGGGGACUUAUUCUAGAAGAUUGCAAGUCUUUGAGGAGGUAGUCCUGGUUCAUGAAAGACAAUUUGAAGUUAAUCAUAGUAAGAUAAACAUACAUAGAUUACGUAUGGUCCAAGAUGAAAUGCUCAAAUAUCUUGCAUUACAAGAACAAUUUUGGAGACAAAAAGCAAGCAUGUUAUGGUUCAAAGAUGGAGAUAGAAUCACUAAAUUCUUCCAUGCUCAAGUUAAUGGGAGAAGAAAGAGACUGAAAUUAUGAAGGAUCCAGAAUAGCCUUGGUAACUAGAUAGUAGAAGAUCAUUUAAUAGAAGAAGAAGCAGUAAAGUUUUACAAGGAUCUAUUUACUGAAAAUUCACUCCCAAAUGCUUUUGAUAUUCUAAAUCAAGUACCUUCAAUGGUAGAUAAUGAUCAACAUGAGAGAUUAAUGGCUUUGCCCUCUAAUGAGGAAGUGACGAGAGCAGUCAUGGGGCUGAAUGGAGACUCAGCAUGCGGACCGGAUGGUUUCAUUGGAGCCUUCUACCAAUCAUGCAGGGAAAUCAUUGAAGAAGACGAUGUAGUCGGCAUGGUCAAAUCUUUCUUCUGCGAUCACCAGCUGCCAAAGGGUGUCACACACACAAACCUGGUUUUAUUACCAAAGAAAAAAGAAGUGAAUACCUUUGCAGAUAUGAGACCAAUCAGCC